UCGGGUGUGGUGUAGGGAACACCGCGAGUGGUCUUACAUCAUGACCAAGAUGAAUGAAAGCUCGCUGUCCGGGGUUCGACUCCCCGCGCCCGAA